rnacentral:rRNA from 1 species
UACGUAGGGUGCAAGCGUUAAUCGGAAUUACUGGGCGUAAAGCGUGCGCAGGCGGUUUUGUAAGUCAGAUGUGAAAUCCCCGGGCUUAACCUGGGAACUGCGUUUGAAACUACAAGGCUAGAGUGUGGCAGAGGGGGGUGGAAUUCCACGUGUAGCAGUGAAAUGCGUAGAGAUGUGGAGGAACACCGAUGGCGAAGGCAGCCCCCUGGGCUAACACUGACGCUCAUGCACGAAAGCGUGGGGAGCAAACAGG